rnacentral:rRNA from 1 species
UACAGAGGUCUCAAGCGUUGUUCGGAUUCAUUGGGCGUAAAGGGUGCGUAGGCGGCGCGGUAAGUCGGGUGUGAAAUCUCGGGGCUUAACUCCGAAACUGCAUUCGAUACUGCCGUGCUUGAGGACUGGAGAGGAGACUGGAAUUUACGGUGUAGCGGUGAAAUGCGUAGAUAUCGUAAGGAAGACCAGUGGCGAAGGCGGGUCCCUGGACAGUUCCUGACGCUGAGGCACGAAGGCC